AGUGGGAAACGAUGUGGGAAGGCUCAGACAGCUAGGAGGUUGGCUUAGAAGCAGCCAUCCUUUAAAGAAAGCGUAAUAGCUCACUAGUCGAGUCGGCCUGCGCGGAAGAUGUAACGGGGCUCAAACCAUACACCGAAGCUACGGGUAUCAUCUUCGGAUGAUGCGGUAGAGGAGCGUUCUGUAAGCCUGUGAAGGUGAGUUGAGAAGCUUGCUGGAGGUAUCAGAAGUGCGAAUGCUGACAUGAGUAACGACAAAGGGGGUGAAAAACCCCCUCGCCGGAAGACCAAGGUUUCCUGCCCCAUGCUAAUCAGGGCAGGGUUAGUCGGCCCCUAAGGUGAGGCUGAAAAGCGUAAUCGAUGGGAAACGGGUUAAUAUUCCCGUACUUGUUAUAACUGCGAUGGAGGGACGGAGUAGGCUAGGCGAUCGCGGCGUUGGUUGUCCGCGUUUAAGCUAGUAGGCUGAGGACUUAGGCAAAUCCGGGUCCUUAAGGCUGAGAGGUGAUGACGAGCUCUCUUUUGAGUGAAGUCGUUGAUGCCAUGCUUCCAAGAAAAUCUUCUAAGCUUCAGGUUAUAACGAACCGUACCCCAAACCGACACAGGUGGUCAGGUAGAGAAUACCAAGGCGCUUGAGAGAACUCGGGUGAAGGAACUAGGCAAAAUGGUACCGUAACUUCGGGAGAAGGUACGCCGGUUUUGGUGAUGGGACUUGCUCCCUAAGCUGAGGCUGGCCGAAGUGACCAGGUGGCUGCGACUGUUUAUCAAAAACAUAGCACUCUGCAAACACGAAAGUGGACGUAUAGGGUGUGACGCCUGCCCGGUGCCGGAAGGUUAAUUGAUGGGGUUAGCGUAAGCGAAGCUCUUGAUCGAAGCCCCGGUAAACGGCGGCCGUAACAAUAACGGUCCUAAGGUAGCGAAAUUCCUUGUCGGGUAAGUUCCGACCUGCACGAAUGGCGUAACGAUGGCCACGCUGUCUCCACCCGAGACUCAGUGAAAUUGAAAUUGCGGUUAAGAUGCCGUAUACCCGCGGCUAGACGGAAAGACCCCGUGAACCUUUACUAUAGCUUCACAGUGGACUCUGAUAUUACUUGUGUAGGAU
rnacentral:rRNA from 1 species